rnacentral:rRNA from 1 species
ACGAACGCUGGCGGCAGGCCUAACACAUGCAAGUCGAGCGCGCUUUCGGGCGAGCGGCGGACGGGUUAGUAACGCGUGGGAACGUGCCCAGAUCUACGGAAUAGCCACUGGAAACGGUGAGUAAUACCUUAUACGCCCUUCGGGGGAAAGAUUUAUCGGAAUUGGAUUAGCCCGCGUUAGAUUAGAUAGUUGGUGGGUAAUGGCCUACCAAGUCUACGAUCUAUAGCUGGUUUGAGAGGAUGAUCAGCAACACUGGGACUGAGACACGGCCCAGACUCCUACGGGAGGCAGCAGUGGGGAAUCUUGC